UCUCUGUGACUGAAAAUAAAGUACUUGAAGAGUACAUCACAGAGAACUUAAAAAAGGGUUUUAUUACUAAGUCUUCCUCCCCGGCUGGGGCCAUUUUUUCCUUUGUUUCUAAAAAGGAGGGAGACUUGAUACCUUGUAUUGACUAUCGGGGUUUAAACAAAAUAACCAUACAAAACGCUUAUCCUAUACCUCUAAUAACCGAGCUUUUCGACAGAUUGAAGGGAGCAACCAUAUUCACUAAGUUGGAUUUACGGAGAGCAUACAAUUUAGUUAGAAUCAAGAAUGGACAUGAGUGGAAGACUG